CCCCCGAUGACAAUGGUGACACAAUGGAGGUGACACAAUGGGGGUGACAAUGGUGACACAGUGGUGACAAUGGUGACACAGUGGUGACAAUGGUGACACAGUGAUGGUGACAAUGGUGACACGAUGGGGGUGACAAUGGUGACACAUUGGGGAUGACAAUGGUGACACAGUGGGGGUGACAGUGGCGACACAGUGGUGACAAUGGUGGCACAGUGGGGGUGACAGUGGUGGCACAAUGGAGGUGACAAUGGUGACACAGCGGCGGUGACAGUGGUGCCACAAUGACAAUGGUGCCACAGUGACAAUGGUGACACAGCGGUGGCACAGCGGCGGUGACAGCGGUGACGUUGUUCCUCAGAGGGUGUCGCUGGUGGUGGCACAGCUGGUGGUGACGGCGGUGGCGCGGUGAUGGUGGCCUGGUGGCGGUGGCAGCGCCGGUGACAGCGGUGGCGGUGACGCAGCAGCGGUGACAGCGGUGGCGCGCUGCAGGUGACGCCACUUGCCUGUGGUGACGGUGACACGGUGACAGUGCCAAUGUCCCCACAGAGGUGACUGAGGGUGACAGAGUACCGCGUCCCUGUCCCCUGUCCCCUGGGCCAGCUGCUCCUGCUGCGGGUGCACAAAGGUCCCUGCGGGGGCCUCCCCGAGAGCUCCUGGUACCUGGAGAGUGUCACCGUGUGGGGACAGCGCGGGGACAGCGCCGGGGACAGCGGGGACAGCCAUGGGGACAGCGAGGAGGAGGAGGAGGAGGAGGAGGAGGAGGAAGGGGACAGCGAGGAGGAGGUGACAGAGGAGGAGGGGACAGGGGACAGCGAGGAGCCGGAGGAGGAGCUGGAGGACAUCGAGAGUGACACCGAGGGUGACACCGAGGGUGACACCGAGGGUGACACUGAGGGUGACAUCGGUGCUGCCAGCUCAGGUGACAGCGCAGGUGACCCCGAUGACGUCACUCACCUGGGCCCCUUCCACUUCCCCUGCUACCGCUGGCUGGAGGGGUACGGCACCUGGGAGCUGCCCGAGGGCACAGCCACCACCCCGGCCAUGGAGCAGCACCCGCAGCGGCAGCGGCAGCGCCGGAGACACCUGGUGCUGCAACGGCGGCGCUACAGGUUGGCGCCCUUCGCCCCCGGCCUGCCCUGGGCGCUGCCCCUGGGGACGCCGCUGGACCCCGACCUGAGCUACUCCCUGCCCAAGGCCACGGCCUUCUACCUGCGGGGCAGCGCCGCGUGAGUGACCACUGACCUCUGAGUGACCCUGAGUGACCACUGACCUCUGAGUGACCCUGAGUGACCACUGACCUCUGAGUGACCCUGAGUGACCACUGACCUCUGAGUGACCCUGAGUGACCACUGACCUCUGAGUGACCCUGAGUGACCACUGACCUCUGAGUGACCCUGAGUGACCACUGACCUCCUUCUACCUGCGGGGCAGCGCCGCCUGAGUGACCACUGACCUCUGAGUGACCCUGAGUGACCACUGACCUCUGGGUGACCUCUGAGUGACACCUGACCAACCACUGACCACUGAGUGACCCUGAGUGACCACUGAGUGACAGCUGACCAACGGCUGACCACUGAGUGAUCACUGACUACUGAGUGACUACUGACCACUGAGUGACCACUGAGUGACCACUGACCUCUGAGUGACCACUGAGUGACCACUGACCACUGAGUGACCGCUGACCAACCACUGACCAACCACUGACCCACCCUGACCAUCCCUGAGCUACUCCCUGCCCAAGGCCACGGCCUUCUACCCGCACCCUGAGUGACCACUGAGUGACCCUGAGUGACCACUGAGUGACAGCUGACCAACGGCUGACCACUGAGUGAUCACUGACUACUGAGUGACUACUGACCACUGAGUGACCACUGAGUGACCACUGAGUGACCACUGAGUGACCACUGAGUGACCACUGAGUGACCACUGAGUGACCACUGAGUGACCACUGAGUGACCACUGAGUGACCACUGAGUGACCACUGAGUGACCACUGAGUGACCACUGAGUGACCACUGAGUGACCACUGAGUGACCACUGAGUGACCACUGAGUGACCACUGAGUGACCACUGAGUGACCACUGAGUGACCACUGAGUGACCACUGAGUGACCACUGAGUGACCACUGAGUGACCACUGAGUGACCACUGAGUGACCACUGAGUGACCACUGAGUGACCACUGAGUGACCACUGAGUGACCACUGAGUGACCACUGAGUGACCACUGAGUGACCACUGAGUGACCACUGAGUGACCACUGAGUGACCACUGAGUGACCACUGAGUGACCACUGAGUGACCACUGAGUGACCACUGAGUGACCACUGAGUGACCACUGAGUGACCACUGAGUGACCACUGAGUGACCACUGAGUGACCACUGAGUGACCACUGAGUGACCACUGAGUGACCACUGAGUGACCACUGAGUGACCACUGAGUGACCACUGAGUGACCACUGAGUGACCA
rnacentral:lncRNA from 12 species